rnacentral:rRNA from 1 species
GAUGAACGCUGGCGGCGUGCCUAAUACAUGCAAGUCGAGCGAACCACUUCGGUGGUGAGCGGCGAACGGGUGAGUAACACGUAGGUGAUCUGCCCAUCAGACGGGGACAACGAUUGGAAACGAUCGCUAAUACCGGAUAGGACGAAAGUUUAAAGGUGCUUCUGGCACCGCUGAUGGAUGAGCCUGCGGCGCAUUAGCUAGUUGGUAGGGUAAAGGCCUACCAAGGCGACGAUGCGUAGCCGGCCUGAGAGGGUGAACGGCCACACUGGGACUGAGACACGGCCCAGAAUCCUACGGGAGGCAGCAGUAGGGAAUCUUCGGCAAUGGGCGAAAGCCUGACCGAGCAACGCCGCGUGAAUGAUGAAGGCCUUCGGGUUGUAAAAUUCUGUUAUAAGGGAAGAACGACUUUAGUAGGAAAUGGCUAGAGUGUGACGGUACCUUAUGAGAAAGCCACAGCUAACUACGUGCCAGCAGCCGCAGUAACAC